rnacentral:rRNA from 1 species
UAGGGAAUCUUCGGCAAUGGGGGCAACCCUGACCGAGCAACGCCGCGUGAGUGAAGAAGGUUUUCGGAUCGUAAAGCUCUGUUGUAAGAGAAGAACGUGUGUGAGAGUGGAAAGUUCACACAGUGACGGUAACUUACCAGAAAGGGACGGCUAACUACGUGCCAGCAGCCGCGGUAAUACGUAGGUCCCGAGCGUUGUUCGGAUUUAUUGGGCGUAAAGCGAGCGCAGGCGGUUUAAUAAGUCUGAAGUUAAAGGCAGUGGCUUAACCAUUGUUAGCUUUGGAAACUGUUAAACUUGAGUGCAGAAGGGGAGAGUGGAAUUCCAUGUGUAGCGGUGAAAUGCGUAGAUAUAUGGAGGAACACCGGUGGCGAAAGCGGCUCUCUGGUCUGUAACUGACGCUGAGGCUCGAAAGCGUGGGGAGCAAACAGG